rnacentral:rRNA from 1 species
AAUAGAUACCCAGGUAGUCCACGCCGUAAACGAUGUCGACUUGGAGGUUGUGCCCUUGAGGCGUGGCUUCCGGAGCUAACGCGUUAAGUCGACCGCCUGGGGAGUACGGCCGCAAGGUUAAAACUCAAAUGAAUUGACGGGGGCCCGCACAAGCGGUGGAGCAUGUGGUUUAAUUCGAUGCAACGCGAAGAACCUUACCUACUCUUGACAUCCAGAGAACUUAGCAGAGAUGCUUUGGUGCCUUCGGGAACUCUGAGACAGGUGCUGCAUGGCUGUCGUCAGCUCGUGUUGUGAAAUGUUGGGUUAAGUCCCGCAACGAGCGCAACCCUUAUCCUUUGUUGCCAGCGGUUAGGCCGGGAACUCAAAGGAGACUGCCAGUGAUAAACUGGAGGAAGGUGGGGAUGACGUCAAGUCAUCAUGGCCCUUACGAGUAGGGCUACACACGUGCUACAAUGGCGCAUACAAAGAGAAGCGACCUCGCGAGAGCAAGCGGACCUCAUAAAGUGCGUCGUAGUCCGGAUUGGAGU